rnacentral:rRNA from 1 species
UACGUAGGGUGCAAGCGUUGUCCGGAAUUAUUGGGCGUAAAGAGCGUGUAGGCGGCCCGGUAAGUCCGCUGUGAAAGUCGGGGGCUCAACCCUCGAAUGCCGGUGGAUACUGUCGGGCUAGAGUGCGGAAGAGGCGAGUGGAAUUCCUGGUGUAGCGGUGAAAUGCGCAGAUAUCAGGAGGAACACCAAUUGCGAAGGCAGCUCGCUGGGACGUAACUGACGCUGAGACGCGAAAGCGUGGGGAGCAAACAGG